UAGGGAAUCUUCCACAAUGGACGCAAGUCUGAUGGAGCAACGCCGCGUGAGUGAAGAAGGUCUUCGGAUCGUAAAGCUCUGUUGUUGGUGAAGAAGGAUAGAGGCAGUAACUGGUCUUUAUUUGACGGUAAUCAACCAGAAAGUCACGGCUAACUACGUGCCAGCAGCCGCGGUAAUACGUAGGUGGCAAGCGUUGUCCGGAUUUAUUGGGCGUAAAGCGAGCGCAGGCGGAAUGAUAAGUCUGAUGUGAAAGCCCACGGCUCAACCGUGGAACUGCAUUGGAAACUGUCAUUCUUGAGUGCAGAAGAGGAGAGUGGAACUCCAUGUGUAGCGGUGGAAUGCGUAGAUAUAUGGAAGAACACCAGUGGCGAAGGCGGCUCUCUGGUCUGCAACUGACGCUGAGGCUCGAAAGCAUGGGUAGCGAACAGGAUUAGAUACCCUGGUAGUCCAUGCCGUAAACGAUGAGCGCUAGGUGUUGGGGACUUUCCGGUCCUCAGUGCCGCAGCAAAACGCAUUAAGCGCUCCGCCUGGGGAGUACGA
rnacentral:rRNA from 1 species